UACGGGGGGGGGCAAGCGUUGUUCGGAAUUACUGGGCGUAAAGGGCUCGUAGGCGGCCAACUAAGUCGGAUGUGAAAUCCCCAGGCUUAACCUGGGAACUGCAUCCGAUACUGGAUGGCUUGAAUCCGGGAGAGGGAUGCAGAAUUCCAGGUGUAGCGGUGAAAUGCGUAGAUAUCUGGAGGAAUACCGGUGGCGAAGGCGGCAUCCUGGACCGGCAUUGACGCUGAGGGAGCGAAAGCCAGGGGAGCAAACGGG
rnacentral:rRNA from 1 species